UGUGACUUGGCCGUUGAAGGGUACACAAGGGUACAAAACCAGUUUUUUACAGAAUGUUUUUGGUGGGAUUUCACUUCUUUUUGUAGAAACGUGGGCAUAUUGAUUUAUUUUAUUAGAUUUUCUUAUUUGACAUAUUUUUUUUCUUUUUAGGAGUAUUUGGUUGGGCUCUUGUGUUUUCUAAUCAGGGUCACCAGGUACUCCAGAUCUUCGAUUAUCUUAGUUUUUAUAGUUUUCCCUUUAUGUGGCCAUUAAACCCUAACUUCUCUUCUCUGUACCAAAUUUCAGCUCUCUGAGUUUAUGGGAAGUACUAGUUCUAUUCUGAUGAUCAUAAGUGAGUGAGUGUGUGUCAUAAAUGCGAAACUUUGCUUUCGCUUAACUUCGGAACUAAAUGACCUACAGACUUGAAAUUUUGGAUUUUAAGUAUGUGAUUAUAGCUUACUGGAUGACGAAAAUUUCUGCGUUCUGGUCUUAUCCAGAGGUUCUCAAAUAGGGACCUGAAAAUGCGGCGAAAUGGUUCCAGUAAAGGAUG